rnacentral:rRNA from 1 species
CAAGUCGAGCGAACUGAUUAGAAGCUUGCUUCUAUGACGUUAGCGGCGGACGGGUGAGUAACACGUGGGCAACCUGCCUGUAAGACUGGGAUAACUUCGGGAAACCGAAGCUAAUACCGGAUAGGAUCUUCUCCUUCAUGGGAGAUGAUUGAAAGAUGGUUUCGGCUAUCACUUACAGAUGGGCCCGCGGUGCAUUAGCUAGUUAGUGAGGUAACGGCUCACCAAGGCAACGAUGCAUAGCCGACCUGAGAGGGUGAUCGGCCACACUGGGACUGAGACACGGCCCAGACUCCUACGGGAGGCAGCAGUAGGGAAUCUUCCGCAAUGGACGAAAGUCUGACGGAGCAACGCCGCGUGAGUGAUGAAGGCUUUCGGGUCGUAAAACUCUGUUGUUAGGGAAGAACAAGUACGAGAGUAACUGCUCGUACCUUGACGGUACCUAACCAGAAAGCCACGGCUAACUACGUGCCAGCAGCCGCGGUAAUACGUAGGUGGCAAGCGUUAUCCGGAAUUAUUGGGCGUAAAGCGCGCGCAGGCGGUUUCUUAAGUCUGAUGUGAAAGCCCACGGCUCAACCGUGGAGGGUCAUUGGAAACUGGGGAACUUGAGUGCAGAAGAGAAAAGCGGAAUUCCACGUGUAGCGGUGAAAUGCGUAGAGAUGUGGAGGAACACCAGUGGCGAAGGCGGCUUUUUGGUCUGUAACUGACGCUGAGGCGCGAAAGCGUGGGGAGCAAACAGGAUUAGAUACCCUGGUAGUCCACGCCGUAAACGAUGAGUGCUAAGUGUUAGAGGGUUUCCGCCCUUUAGUGCUGCAGCUAACGCAUUAAGCACUCCGCCUGGGGAGUACGGUCGCAAGACUGAAACUCAAGGAAUUGACGGGGGCCCCGCACAAGCGGUGGAGCAUGUGGUUUAAUUC